rnacentral:rRNA from 1 species
GACGAACGCUGGCGGCGUGCCUAAUACAUGCAAGUCGAGCGAAUCAUUAGGAGCUUGCUCCUGGUGGUUAGCGGCGGACGGGUGAGUAACACGUGGGCAACCUGCCUGUAAGACUGGGAUAACACCGGGAAACCGGUGCUAAUACCGGAUAAUCCUUUCCCUCUCAUGAGGGAAAGCUGAAAGUCGGUUUCGGCUGACACUUACAGAUGGGCCCGCGGCGCAUUAGCUAGUCGGUGAGGUAACGGCUCACCAAGGCGACGAUGCGUAGCCGACCUGAGAGGGUGAUCGGCCACACUGGGACUGAGACACGGCCCAGACUCCUACGGGAGGCAGCAGUAGGGAAUCUUCGGCAAUGGGCGAAAGCCUGACCGAGCAACGCCGCGUGAGCGAUGAAGGCCUUCGGGUCGUAAAGCUCUGUUGUUAGAGAAGAACAAGUACGAGAGUAACUGCUCGUACCUUGACGGUACCUAACCAGAAAGCCACGGCUAACUACGUGCCAGCCGCCGCAGUAAAAC